rnacentral:rRNA from 1 species
AGAGUUUGAUCCUGGCUCAGGAUGAACGCUGGCGGCGUGCCUAACACAUGCAAGUCGAGCGAGGGUUUGCUCAGUAUUGAGUAUUCUAAGUCUAGAAUGUUCAAUUCUGAGCAAAACCAAGCGGCGGACGGGUGAGUAACGCGUGGGUAACCUGCCCUAUACACAUGGAUAACAUACUGAAAAGUUUACUAAUACAUGAUAAUAUAUAUUUGCGGCAUCGCAGAUAUAUCAAAGUGUUAGCGGUAUAGGAUGGACCCGCGUCUGAUCAGCUAGUUGGUGAGAUAACUGCCCACCAAGGCGACGAUCAGUAGCCGACCUGAGAGGGUGAUCGGCCACAUUGGAACUGAGACACGGUCCAAACUCCUACGGGAGGCAGCAGUGGGGAAUAUUGCACAAUGGGCGAAAGCCUGAUGCAGCAACGCCGCGUGAACGAUGAAGGUCUUCGGAUCGUAAAGUUCUGUUGCAGGGGAAGAUAAUGACAGUACCCUGUGAGGAAGCCCCGGCUAACUACGUGCCAGCAGCCGCGGUAAUACGUAGGGGGCUAGCGUUAUCCGGAUUUACUGGGCGUAAAGGGUGCGUAGGUGGUCCUUCAAGUCGGUGGUUAAAGGCUACGGCUCAACCGUAGUAAGCCGCCGAAACUGGAGGACUUGAGUGCAGGAGAGGAAAGUGGAAUUCCCAGUGUAGCGGUGAAAUGCGUAGAUAUUGGGAGGAACACCAGUAGCGAAGGCGGCUUUCUGGACUGCAACUGACACUGAGGCACGAAAGCGUGGGUAGCAAACAGGAUUAGAUACCCUGGUAGUCCACGCUGUAA